rnacentral:rRNA from 1 species
UACGGAGGGUGCAAGCGUUAUCCGGAUUCACUGGGUUUAAAGGGAGCGCAGGCGGAUUUGUAAGUCAGUGGUGAAAGGCUUAAGCUUAACUUGGGAACUGCCAUUGAUACUAUAAGUCUUGAAUGUUGUUGAGGUUUGCGGAAUGGGUCAUGUAGCGGUGAAAUGCAUAGAUAUGACCCGGAACACCUAUUGCGAAGGCAGCAGGCUAACAAAUAUUGACGCUGAGGCUCGAAAGCGUGGGGAUCAAACAGG